rnacentral:tRNA from 1 species
ACUUGGCUGGCUCAGCUGGUAGAGCAUGUAACUCUUGAUCUCAGGGUCAUGAGUUCAACCCCCCAUGCUGGGUA